AACAGCUGCGGUAUUAUAACUGUACUAAGGUAGCAUAAUAAUUUGCCUUAUAAAUUAGGGCUAGAAUGAAUGGUUUGACGAAAAUUAUACUGUCUCUAUUUUAAUUGGUAGAAAUUAAUCUUUAUAGUGAAAAAGCUUAAAUAGUUUAAAGGGACGAGAAGACCCUAUUGAGCUUUAUAUUAGUUAUAAUAAAAUAUAAUUUAUUUGGUUAAAUUAAUAUUAUGUUUAUUAUGUUUAAUUUUGAUUGGGGUGAUCAAGGAAUAAGAUUUAUAUUAUUUAACUUCCUUAAAAAUAAAUUAAUUUUUUAGAAUAAUUAACCAAUGAUAUUGCUUAUAUGAUAAGUUACCAUAGGGAUAACAGCGUAAUUUUUUUGGAGAGUUCAUAUUAAAAAAAGAGAUUGCGACCUCGAUGUUGGAUUAAAAUAACCAUAUGGUGAAGAGGCUUUAUGUGGUGA
rnacentral:rRNA from 1 species